GAGAAAUGGGGUAAUUGAGCCUGGUGCAAAGAAAUGGUGUCUUUACUUCUGCAACAGGGUUAGAGGGAAGAUGUGGGGAUUAGGGCCUGAAAUAUAUCUAUUUCGGAGCAGCUUAUGCAUGCUUAUGCAUACAGACACAGCACGCACGGCAGUGCAUGAUACAGCUUUCAGAGACACCCAUACCUGUGUUUCUGUCUGCCCUCCUGAGGUGCAGAUCUCUCUCUAUAGCUGCAUCUAUUUCUACAUAUCAAUAUCCAAAAUUUCAUCUCUCUCUAUCACUCUCUAGAGCUGUAUAUCUACAUAGUAAUAAUUACACCAAUGCUAUUCUCUGCACACAUGACUAUCUAGCUAUGCAUCAGCGUGUUUGUUGAUGGCCACUAAGGAUUCAACAUAAUGUUAGGUUCUUCUUUUGUCUUAUUAAAAAAAAAAAACAAAACAAAAACAAACAAACCUAGAUGAAAGCUGGAAGGAGAAAAAUCUAUUGUGUCCAAAGAAUGUCUGAAUCACGGAACAAUUUCUCUUUCAUUUAUGAAACACAUUAUCAGGGUUCCGCAUGUACUUUUAGGUUUUAUCAGCUGGAGGAAUGUCUAUCCUCCUGGAGGAUGUACUCUGAAGUCACGAUGAAGUGAUUUUAGAGCCCAGGAUUUUGAAGUGUUUAAAAGUGCAUUCUGGAAGCAAUUUGGCCAGGUGUAGUGGAGGUCCAGGACUCUAGACUCAUGCAUGGAGUGUACUGAGAAUUAAACCUGUUCAAGAAGCUGAUGGACACAAAGUGCCACUUAACAGACUAACACAUUUAAUGUGUUCUAGGGGAACCCAGAGUCACACGAUCAGGAUUUGACUGUUUUGCCUUUGACUUUACCACCCACCAGUUCUGUGGUUUGGGGUCUAGGGCCCUGAUUUUGAGGUUACAAGGAUGACACCUCCCACCCUGAGCCCCAUGAUAAAUAGCGGCAUAAUCACUUUGCCAGCAUUGAACCUAGAACAGACGAGGAACUUUUAAAUGUUGAGGUACCUUUCAAUUGCCAACAGUUCUGAAUCUUUCUCUCUCCUUUCCUCCAUCUCUUCUUCUUUCCCUCCCUCUCUCCAUUCUCUCCCUCUCUUUUUUCUCUCCCCCUCUCUGUGUUUGCAUGCACACGCAGGUGGAGGUCAGAAAGCAACAUCAGGUUCUUCCCUCAAUACCUCUCUGCUUUAGGGAUGACAUGGUUUGCUUUUUUUUUUUUUUUUUUCUGUGAUAAACACCAUGACCAAAAGCAGCUUGAAGAGAAACAUGUUCUGUUUGGCUUAUAUGUUGUGAUCAUGCUCAGCCACCAAGGGAGGUCAGAGCAGGAACACAAACAGGAGCAGAGGCAAGAAAAUUUGAGGAAUGCUGCUUUCUCAUCAUGUUUUUAGCACUGGCCAAGGUACCCAGGAGUGGAACCUCCCACAGUGAAUUGGGUCUUCCCACAUCAAUCAUUAACCAUGAAAAUUAUCCAGACUUGCCUUACUGAUCAGUCUGAUAGAGGUGCUUUCUCAGUUGAGGUUCCUUGAGCUUGUGUCAAGGAAACACAGAAAACCAACAACUUAAGGCACAAGCCAUGGGGUACAUUGCCUGGGGUUCUCUAUAGGUGCUGGAGAUCAAAGGUGUAUUCAUGCAACAGAGGCAGAUAGUUGACCUAAGAUGCAAUGACAUCAGGAGUCAUUUCUCUCCUAUUGAGUUAGGCUGACUCUCUUGUUUCUGCUGGGCUGGCACUUCAGGAUAACUCACCUCCAAGCUCCAGCAAUUCCUUUGUCCUUGCCAUCCAUCUAGCCUUAAGAGUGUUGGAAUUAUAGAUGCAUGCCAUCAAAUCCUAAACUUUGUACAUGGGUUCCAGGGAUCAAACUCAGUGCUGGAGACUGCUCAAGGUCUUACAACUGUGCAAUCAAUUACUUCACCACUAAGCUGCAUCCCCAGCCUGAUUACUUCUGGAGCGCCUCUUGCCUCAACGAAAUUGUAAACCCAGCCUUAUUUAAACAUGUAGCAAUGCCUCGGGUCAUAUGCUUUUUUCUUUUCAUUGACUGUCUUAUGUAUGUAUGUAUGCAUGUAAGACACCAUGACCAAAGCAACUUAUAAAAGAAAGCAUUUAAUUUGGAGCUCAUAAUUUCAGGCAAUAGCAGAGUUUUUGACAGCCAUGGUGGUGAGCAUGGCAGCAGGUAGGCAGGCAUCAUGCUGAGAGCUUAUAUUGGAUCCACCAGGAAGAGGCAGAGAGAGGAUUUGGAGGAGACUCUGGGCCUGAUGUGAGCUUUUGAAACUUCCAAGCCCUACAGACACAUCUGUUCCAACAAGGUCACACUCCCUGACUCUUCCCAGAUAAUUCUAGUUCUACCAACUUGUGACCAAGCACUCAAGUAUAUGUCUAUGGGGGACAUUUUCAUUCAAUCCAUUAAAACCCUGUCUUAAAAACAAACAUUCAAGCAAGCAAAAUAUCAACAUUCCUACACAUAUCAAUGAUUAACCAUUAAUAAACUGUUUUUCUUGGUUAAUAUCAGAAGAUACUAAUGAGAAACUAAACCAAACAGAAAUUAGUGUCAUUUUCAUGUGGAAAGAAAGAACAACAUUAAGUAGAUGUCUUAUUGUAUGGAGAAAACCCAGAAAGGAAGAUUCAAUUUCUGUGUAUCAGCUCAUUGCCUAUUUAAAUAAGAAAAGAAGAGAGAGAGAGAAACAGAGAUAGACAGAGACAGACAGAGAUUAAUUCAGAAGAAGAAAAUAAAACCUAAAUUCUUCACUAUGAUGAUAAAUUUCAGCACAAAAUCCAUAAUUAAAAUGGCUGAGUAUGUAGGAGAGUGUUUUCCCAGCACGUACAAGGUCCUGGAGUCCAUCUUACACACAUACACACACACACACACACACACACACACACACACAGACACUAUAGAUACACAGACAUAUAGACACACAGACACUAAAGACACACUACAGAUAUUUCAGAGUUGUUAUUCAGGGGAAUCAAAGAGAUUCCAAAUAAUGCAGGCUAUUGCCAAUGCCUUGAUUGGCUCCACUCCACAAGGACUUCAAAGUAAAACCCUAUUGCUGAAGACACCACGUGUUUGAGACACAAACUGAGACACAGGAACUGAGCCUGAACUGAUCUGAAAGAUUUCUCCCUGAGGACCAGCUCUCAUGCUGUCUGAAUCUAUACAAACUUCCAAGGAAGGAAAGCAUUCAAUAGCCCUACCCAGCCGUAAACCUUGCAAACCACAACAAUAACUAGCAAGAUGAUCCCAAGGGUGAAACAGUGGCAUUUAUAUCUUGGGGGCAACCACUAGCUGUCUAGUCGGACUUAAGGCCUACUCAUUGGGAGUGAAUUUGUGCUUAGUACAGUGAACCAGGCCCACUACCUGUGGGUGACAUGCUCUUAGACUGUAGAGGAGAACCCACUUAUGACACUUUCCUAAACCAGUAUCACUUCUAAUUACAUGCUAAAUACUUAUCUCUGUACUCAAAGAUAAGUAGUUCUUACCCUUUAUCAAAGAGGCUUCUAUGGGAAGCAGAUGGAGACCAUCACAGAAAUCCACAGCUUGUCAAAAUGCAGAGAACAACUGACGGCGUGCCCAAGCCCCAGGUGACACACACACAGCACAACUCUUACUCCUAAGGCUCAGGGAACAUUCCUGAGGAGGGGGAUAGAAAGGUUUUAAGAGCAAGAGGCCCAAGCCGUCUGCUGUGAGAUGAGAUCUUCUAUGUAUGACAGGAAAAUCACAUCCAUGAAAUCUCAAAGGUUGCCUAAACGAGACCCGUGUAAUGGAAACAUCUGUUGACAUGCCAGUGUGGGUGAGAGAAUUCUUAGAGGGUCCUAUCCCUAGACAAAGUACUGUAGACAAGUGCCGCUCAACCUGUGGGUCACUGCGCCUUUGGGGCAUUGAACGACCCAUUCACAGGGGCCCCUAAGUGGCAGAAGCCAUGAAGGAAGAACGGCCAUGAACAAGUGAGCUUCCUGGGGAUGGCUCACCAUUUUGCAUGGCUAUGAUAUGUUUAUGUUGGAGGGGCACGUCCCCAGGGAUUUUGUCUCCAGGUUCUUCUUGCUGCUGCUGUGGCUUCCCAUGCUUGUCAUUUCUGUAUUCCUCAUGUAUCUGGCACGGUAUGGAGAGGCCCUCACUGCCUAUUAGUUCCUCAGGAUUUACCCACUCUGUCGGCCAAUAUGUACUUUCAUGAGAUAAUGCUGUUUAGAUGAAUUGAUGAUUUUGUAAUUCCUGAUCAUGAUUUUAUAGAAUUCCUGAUUUGAUUCAAGUAACUCUAAGCCCCCUCCUGCGGAACAGCAAAGGCUGCAGAACGGAGUUCUGUGAAUCUGCAUAUGUCACAAGCACAGAAAUUGCACCAGGAAGAAGAACAGGCUUGAGGCAAAUCUAUGGUCUAGGAAAACAUUCAUUCUUGAUUAGGUCCAGAGAUGGGAUCAUGGAUUUCUGCAUGCAUCAUGAAAACUAGUUUAAGCUAUACAAGGCCUUAAAAAUAAGACAUAAGAUAAAUGGCUGCUUUCUUGGUUAAAAACCUUGCUGACCUAUGACAAAAACAAACAAAUAAAACAAAAACAAAAAACAAAACAAAAACAGCCUAUUGCUCUGAACUUAUAAUGAUCUGUGGAAUGAAAGACAGAUAAAAAUAUCACUUUGAACUUGUAAUGAACUUGUAGAGCUAAGAGAUAGAUAAAGAAUGUUUCGUUAGGUGCAAGCCUUAAUGGAAAGACAUGUAAAUGAUUAUCUUGUUGUAAAUCCUUAAAUCAUGUUAACCUUAAACCUUAUCAACCUAUGAUGUGAAUAAAUAUUGCUGUGAACUUACAGUGAACUUAUGGAAUCUUAUAUGGAUAAGAUAUAUUUACUUAGGCACAAGUAAUCAAUAAUCUUGCUGUACAUCCCUCUGUGUAACUACUUUAUCUGUUUCUGUGAUAAUUGCUGUUAUGGCUAUGUACAAUUUUUUUCUUCUGACAUAGAGAUUUUUCCUUAGAAAGUAUAAAUUGAACUAAGAAAUAAUAAAAGCUGCUUUAUCCACCAA